rnacentral:rRNA from 1 species
AUCGUAGGUGGUUUGUUAAGUCGGAUGUGAAAUCCCGGGGCUCAACCCCGGAACUGCAUUCGAUACUGGCAGACUUGAGUUCGGGAGGGGGAAGCGGAAUUCCGUGUGUAGCAGUGAAAUGCGUAGAUAUACGGAGGAACACCCGAGGCGAAGGCGGCUUCCUGGACCGACACUGACACUGAGGAUCGAAAGCGUGGGGAGCAAACA